UCGAGAAUCUUCGGCAAUGGGCGCAAGCCUGACCGAGCGACGCCGCGUGCGGGAUGAAGGCCUUCGGGUUGUAAACCGCUGUCAGAGGGGAUGAAGUGUAUGGGGGUACUCCCCUGUACUUGACAGAGCCUCAGAGGAAGCACGGGCUAAGUUCGUGCCAGCAGCCGCGGUAAUACGAACUGUGCGAACGUUAUUCGGAAUCACUGGGCUUAAAGGGUGCGUAGGCGGUUUUCUAAGUCAGGUGUGAAAUCUUCCGGCUCAACCGGAAAACUGCGCCUGAUACUGGAGGACUGGAGUGAGGCAGGGGUGUGUGGAACUUCCGGUGGAGCGGUGAAAUGUGUAGAUAUCGGAAGGAACGCCAGCAGCGAAAGCGGCACACUGGGCCUUUUCUGACGCUGAGGCACGAAAGCCAGGGGGAGCGAACGGGGAUUAGAUACCCCGGUAGUCCUGGCCGUAAACACUGAGCACUA
rnacentral:rRNA from 1 species